AUUGAACGCUGGCGGCAUGCCUUACACAUGCAAGUCGAACGGCAGCGGGGGAGAAGCUUGCUUUUCCUGCCGGCGAGUGGCGAACGGGUGAGUAAUACAUCGGAACGUGCCCUGUAGUGGGGGAUAACUAGUCGAAAGAUUAGCUAAUACCGCAUACGACCUGAGGGUGAAAGUGGGGGACCGCAAGGCCUCAUGCUAUAGGAGCGGCCGAUGUCUGAUUAGCUAGUUGGUGGGGUAAAGGCCUACAAAGGCGACGAUCAGUAGCUGGUCUGAGAGAACGAUCAGCCACACUGGGACUGAGACACGGCCCAGACUCCUACUGGAGGCAGCAGUGGGGAAUUUUGGACAAUGGGCGAAAGCCUGAUCCAGCAAUGCCGCGUGUGUGAAGAAGGCCUUCGGGUUGUAAAGCACUUUUGUCCGGAAAGAAAUGGCUCUGGUUAAUACCUGGGGUCGAUGACGGUACCGGAAGAAUAAGGACCGGCUAACUACGUGCCAGCCGCCGCAGUAA
rnacentral:rRNA from 1 species